UACGUAGGGUGCAAGCGUUAUCCGGAAUUAUUGGGCGUAAAGAGCUCGUAGGCGGUUUGUCACGUCUGCUGUGAAAACUGGAGGCUCAACCUCCAGCCUGCAGUGGGUACGGGCAGACUAGAGUGCGGUAGGGGUGACUGGAAUUCCUGGUGUAGCGGUGGAAUGCGCAGAUAUCAGGAGGAACACCGAUGCGAAGGCAGGUCACUGGGCCGCAACUGACGCUGGAGGAAGCGAAAGCAUGGGGAGCGAA
rnacentral:rRNA from 1 species